UACGAAGGGGGCUAGCGUUGCUCGGAAUCACUGGGCGUAAAGGGCGCGUAGGCGGCAGGCCAAGCGUGCGGUGAAAGUCCGGGGCUCAACCCCGGAUCGGCCGUGCGGACUGGUUUGCUGGAGCACUGUAGAGGCGAGUGGAAUUCCGGGUGUAGCGGUGGAAUGCGUAGAGAUCCGGAAGAACACCGGUGGCGAAGGCGGCUCGCUGGGCAGUGGCUGACGCUGAGGCGCGACAGCGUGGGGAGCAAACGAGG
rnacentral:rRNA from 1 species